rnacentral:rRNA from 1 species
CCUACGGGUGGCAGCAGUGGGGAAUAUUGCACAAUGGGGGAAACCCUGAUGCAGCAACGCCGCGUGAGUGAAGAAGUAUUUCGGUAUGUAAAGCUCUAUCAGCAGGGAAGAAAUUGACAGUACCUGACUAAGAAGCCCCGGCUAACUACGUGCCAGCAGCCGCGGUAAUACGUAGGGGGCAAGCGUUAUCCGGAUUUACUGGGUGUAAAGGGAGCGUAGACGGUUAUGCAAGUCAGAAGUGAAAGCCCAAAGCUCAACUUCGGGACUGCUUUUGAAACUGUGUAACUAGAGUGCAGGAGGGGUAAGCGGAAUUCCUAGUGUAGCGGUGAAAUGCGUAGAUAUUAGGAGGAACACCGGCGGCGAAGGCGGCUUACUGGACUGUAACUGACGUUGAGGCUCGAAAGCGUGGGGAGCAAACAGGAUUAGAUACCCUGGUAGUC